UACGAGGGGGGCGAGCGUUGUUCGGAAUUAUUGGGCGUAAAGGGUGCGUAGGCGGCCUGACAAGUCUGAUGUGAAAUCCCUGGGCUCAACCCAGGGCCUGCAUCGGAAACUGUCGGGCUUGAGUAUGGGAGAGGUGAGUGGAAUUUCCGGUGUAGCGGUGAAAUGCGUAGAUAUCGGAAGGAACACCUGUGGCGAAAGCGGCGCACUGGACCACAACUGACGCUGAGGCGCGAAAGCUAGGGGAGCAAACAGG
rnacentral:rRNA from 1 species